rnacentral:rRNA from 1 species
UACUAGAGUAGCACUCGCAUAUCAAUAAGCGGAGGAAAAGAAACUAACAAGGAUUCCCUUAGUAACGGCGAGUGAAGCGGGAAGAGCUCAAAUUUGAAAUCUUCAAGGUUCCUACCUUGACGAAUUGUAGUUUAAAGAAGUGUUUUCUGUUAGUGGAGUGGCAAAAGUUCUUUGGAAUAGGACAUCAUAGAGGGUGAGAAUCCCGUAUUUGGUCAUUCCUUCUAGCUUUGUGAUACACUUUCAAAGAGUCGGAUUGUUUGGGAAUGCAGUCCAAAAUGGGUGGUAAAUUUCAUCUAAAGCUAAAUAUUGGCGAGAGACCGAUAGCGAACAAGUACCGUGAGGGAAAGAUGAAAAGAACUUUGAAAAGAGAGUUAAACAGUACGUGAAAUUGUCAAAAGGGAAGCGUUUGACACCAGUGUUGUUUUUCCGAAAAUCAAUUAUGAAUGGCUUGAUUUUAAGUUUCAUGACCUUAAAAGCUUGUUUCUUAUUUUUCAUGUCUUUCGUAAUGCACUUUUCGGUUAACAAGUCAACAUCAAUUUCUUUUGUUGUAAAAGGUUAAGAGGAAGGUGGCUUUACUUUCGGGUAAAGUGUUUAUAGCCUUUUAACUCUGCAAUCGGAGAGAUUGAGGUCUGCAGCGUAGAUCCUUCGGGGUUAGAUACGUUUGUGCUAAGUUAUAGCUUUUCAUAGACAACUUGUUGACUAUGUUAAGUCUUGUAAUUUACUCGCAGAUGCUAUUUUACCUACGCUUAGGAUGUUGAAGAUGUAGCACAUCAU